AUUGAACGCUGGCGGCAGGCCUAACACAUGCAAGUCGAGCGGAGCGGCGGACGGGUGAGUAAUGCCUAGGCAUCUGCAUGGUAGUGGGGUAUAACGUCCGACAACGGGCUCUAAUACCGCAUACUAUCAGAUGAGCCUCGGGCGGAUUAGCUAGUUGGUGGGGUAAAGGCCUACCAAGGCGACGAUCCGUAACUGGUCUGAGAGGAUGAUCAGUCACACUGGAAUUGAGACACGGUCCAGAAUCCUACGGGAGGCAGCAGUGGGGAAUAUUGGACAAUGUGCGAAAGCCUGAUCCAGCCAUGCCGCGUGUGUGAAGAAGGUCUUCGGAUUGUAAAGCACUUUAAGUUGGGAGGCGUGACCAACAGAAUAAGCACCGGCUAACUUCGUGACAGCAGCCGCGGUAAUUC
rnacentral:rRNA from 1 species